rnacentral:rRNA from 1 species
GAUGAACGCUGACAGAAUGCUUAACACAUCAGCAACGGAUUGGCGGCGGACGGGUGAGUAACGCGUAAAGAACUUGCCUCACAGUUAGGGACAACAUUUGGAAACGAAUGCUAAUACUUAAUACUGUGAGAGAGCUUUGCGUCCCAUUAGCUAGUUGGAGAGGUAACGGCUCACCAAGGCGAUGAUGGGUAGCCGGCCUGAGAGGGUGAUCGGCCACAGGGGGACUGAGACACAGCCCUUGCUCAUACGGGAGGCAGCAGUGGAGACUAUUGGACAAUGUACCAAAGUAUGAUCCAGCAAUUCUGUGUGCACGAUGAAGUUUUCGGAAUGUAAAGUGCUUUCAGUUGGGAAGCGUUACCAACAGAAGAAGUGACGGCUAACUACGUGCCAGCAGCCGCGGUAAUUC